CGGACGGGUGAGUAAUGCUUGGGAAUCUGGCUUAUGGAGGGGGAUAACUACGGGAAACUGUAGCUAAUACCGCGUAAUAUCUUCGGAUUAAAGGGUGGGACUUUCGGGCCACCUGCCAUAAGAUGAGCCCAAGUGGGAUUAGGUAGUUGGUGGGGUAAAGGCCUACCAAGCCGACGAUCUCUAGCUGGUCUGAGAGGAUGACCAGUCACACUGGAACUGAGACACGGUCCAGACUCCUACGGGAGGCAGCAGUGGGGAAUAUUGCACAAUGGGGGGAACCCUGAUGCAGCCAUGCCGCGUGAAUGAAGAAGGCCUUCGGGUUGUAAAGUUCUUUCGGUGAUGAGGAAGGUGUUUGUUUUAAUAGAGCAAGCAAUUGACGUUAGUCACAGAAGAAGCACCGGCUAACUCCGUGCCAGCAGCCGCGGUAAUACGGAGGGUGCGAGCGUUAAUCGGAAUGACUGGGCGUAAAGGGCACGCAGGCGGUGACUUAAGUGAGAUGUGAAAGCCCCGAGCUUAACUUGGGAAUUGCAUUUCAUACUGGGUCGCUAGAGUAUUUUAGGGAGGGGGUAGAUUCCACGUGUAGCGGUGAAAUGCGUAGAGAUGUGGAGGAAUACCGAAGGCGAAGGCAGCCUCUUGGGAAUAUACUGACGCUCAUGUG
rnacentral:rRNA from 1 species